AGGGCACCACCAGGAGUGGAGCCUGCGGCUUAAUUUGACUCAACACGGGAAAUCUCACCAGGCCCGGACACUGGAAGGAUUGACAGAUUGAGAGCUCUUUCUUGAUUCAGUGGGUGGUGGUGCAUGGCCGUUCUUAGUUGAUGGAGCGAUUUGUCUGGUUAAUUCCGGUAACGAACGAGACUCUGGCCUACUAACUAGACGUUAGAUCCUUUAUGGGUUUGACGAUGCUUCUUAGAGGGACGGGCGGCUUUUAGCCGCACGAGAAUGAGCAAUAACAGGUCUGUGAUGCCCUUAGAUGUUCUGGGCUGCACGCGCGCUACACUGAAGAAAUCAGCGUGUGUUCCCUAUCCGAAAGGUUUGGGAAACCCGUUGAACCUUCUUCGUGAUGGGGAUUGGGGAUUGUAAUUAUUCCCCAUGAACGAGGAAUUCCCAGUAGGCGCGAGUCAUAAGCUUGCGUCGAUUACGUCCCUGCCCUUUGUACACACCGCCCGUCGCUACUACCGAUCGAGUGAUUUAGUG
rnacentral:rRNA from 1 species